rnacentral:rRNA from 1 species
UACGUAGGCAGCGAGCGUUGUUCGGAAUUACUGGGCGUAAAGAGUGUGUAGGCGGUGCUCUAAGUUCGGUGUGAAAUCUCCCGGCUUAACUGGGAGGGUGCGCCGGAAACUGGAGUGCUCGAGCGUGGGAGAGGAAAGCGGAAUCCUGGUGUAGCGGUGAAAUGCGUAGAUAUCAGGAGGAACACCUGUGGCGAAAGCGGCUCACUGGACCAUAAACUGACGCUGGAAUGCACGAAAGCUAGGGGAGCAAACAGG